rnacentral:lncRNA from 1 species
UGUUCUAUACUAUUUGGGUUUAGAGUUUAUACUUGGGUUUAGGGUUUAGUGAUUAAGAGUUAGGGUUUAGUAUUUGGAAGGUGGGGCUUGAGGUUUGGGUUUAGUGACCGUACUAUGUAUGUUCCAGUUGACGAUUAAUAAAAAUUGUUCUAUUUUGCUCACCAAUUUGUACUAUACUAUGUAUUUUGUUCCAUUCUAUUUGGGUUUAAAGUAUAUACUUGGGUUGUUUUGGGUUGUUUAGUGAUUAGAAUUUAGGGUUUAGUAUUUGAAAGGUGGGAGUUUAGGUUUGGGUUUAGUAUUCAAACUUAGGUAUGAGUUUGGCAUUGAGGAGUUGUGUGUUGGAUUGGAGUCCUAUAUUAUUCAAAAAUUAGGUUUGGAUUUAGUUUAAUAUUACAUAAUAUUAUAUACUAUUUUCAGAUUUUGAUAAUUGGGUUUAAGGUUUAUAUUUGGGCUCGUAAGCAAAUAUUUUCUUUAUCUUAUGUGUUCAGUUUGAUCCGUAAUUAAGUAGUUUCCUUUCUUAUGUGUUCUUAUUUUUGAUCUCAGGUGCUAGCUACAUGGUUGUGACUGCCCAUUAUAUUGAUCCGUGUUAGCGAUUGAAGAAGCUUAUCAUUAGGUUCAAGCACGUAACUGAUCACAAAGGAGGUACAAUUUCGAAGGUUUUGUAAGAUUGCUUAGCUGACUGGGGUAUACAGAAGGUAUUCUGUGUGACAGUCGACAAUGCAACGACCAAUUCAUCUGCAUUGCAAAAAUUUUGAAUUCUCACUGGUGUCUAAAGAAGCCUUAGUUUUUUAUGUUGUUAUGAAACUUAUUUUUCUGGUGUGUUUGAACGAUGAAUGUUGUUUUUUCGUUUGGGAUUGAACUAAGGAAUGUUGUUUUCGGUUUUAUGGAACUAUGAAGUGUUGUUUUCGGAUUUAUUAAACUAUGGAGUGUUGUUUUGCUAUUUUAUUGAGAUUUUCAUUUCAGUUUAAGGAUUAUGUUUCAUAAAUUUGUAUUUUACUUCAGUAUAACCCGAAAUCGAUUGGUAUUUGAUUACUUUAUAGGUUUUAUAAUGCAAUACAAUAUUUAACCAAAUCCGAAGUGAUAUUAUCCGAAACCGACCAAUUUUAAAUAAAUUUUAGAAUGGGACCUUUGAGCCUAAACCUAAAACACACAAAAAAAACCGAUCUGAACCCGAACGAUACCCAAACGCCCAUGCCUAUCAGUCACGUUAAAGUUAGGGUUCACGUAGGUGGGAUUAAUUAUUAUGGGCUUUAGUGUUUCUUUGGGCUUUUACUUCUUAAUUAGAUUAAUUAGAGUUUUGUCUUGUGUUUUCUAUUUAAGAUGUCGUUUAUGUUAUUGUAAAUCAGCUUUUCACAUUUAAUAAAAAUACAGAGAAACAGUUAUUUCUUUUACUUUGUUCUCAGAUAGAGUUUCGACUCUCAACGAUCUUAAAAAGGCAAUUAUUCUAGGUAUUCUAAAAAUCAAUAGAUUACUUGCGCUAUCCGUAGCUUCCGCUACACCAUAAGCCCUUUAACAAAAAAAAACAUUUUGCUGAUACAUUUAAUGAAAACAUUUUGCUGGUACAUUUUAAUAUAAACAUGUGAAGUGUUCGUGAUGCCAUUGUCAUUUUUUUUUAUUUAGAUGCCACUUAAAUAUAUGGGAAUUGGGCUGUAUAACCUUCAAACAAAUUAUAAUUCAUUAGAUAACUAAAAUCCCUAACUUUCAUCUACAAUAUAUGUAUUUUAUGUAUAUUACCCUUCAAUUCAACCUGUGUAACCUGAUGAGAAUUAUUUAUCAAAAGAAAUAUUAAAUAAAUGAUUUAAUAAAUUGUGGUUAUCAUUGGUGCACAUAUCUUUCUCUUCUUCUUCCUCUUCUCCUCCAAUCUCUCUUUCUUUUUCAUACAUACGAAGACAAACCACUUCAUCUCAAGACAAAGAAAGAGCAUGGAUUCUGGGCUGGUGGAAUUGAGUUUGGAGGAGAAGAUGGCACCGUAGAGAACGACGAGGUGACGUCACAAUUUCUUUUUUUUUUGAGUUUCUUUAAUGUUGUUGAUCUUGAUUUUUUUCGUUGUUAUUUAAAUUGUUAUAGUACGAUGUAUUGAUAUUGUAUGGCGAAGAAUAAUUACUCUGGACCAGUGAAUGUGUGUAUCACCAUGUCUGCAAAAAGAGGAAGAUGUGAAGAAGAUGAACUCGCCGACUAUACUAUAUGUAGUCAAAGAAAAUUAUAGUCUAGUACGAUUCUUAUAUUUUUGUACCAUUCGCAAGUACCAAACUAAAUAGUAUGCUACGGUUCUUGUAUUAUUGUAUCAUCGAUUGUUUGAUAAAUUCAUUACUUAUCAAUUUUUAGUUUACAACUAUAUGUAUUAUAUUAUGUAUUUUGUUCUAUACUAUUUGGGUUUAGAGUUUAUACUUGGGUUUAGGGUUUAGUGAUUAAGAGUUAGGGUUUAGUAUUUGGAAGGUGGGGCUUGAGGUUUGGGUUUAGUGACCGUACUAUGUAUGUUCCAGUUGACGAUUAAUAAAAAUUGUUCUAUUUUGCUCACCAAUUUGUACUAUACUAUGUAUUUUGUUCCAUUCUAUUUGGGUUUAAAGUAUAUACUUGGGUUGUUUUGGGUUGUUUAGUGAUUAGAAUUUAGGGUUUAGUAUUUGAAAGGUGGGAGUUUAGGUUUGGGUUUAGUAUUCAAACUUAGGUAUGAGUUUGGCAUUGAGGAGUUGUGUGUUGGAUUGGAGUCCUAUAUUAUUCAAAAAUUAGGUUUGGAUUUAGUUUAAUAUUACAUAAUAUUAUAUACUAUUUUCAGAUUUUGAUAAUUGGGUUUAAGGUUUAUAUUUGGGUUUAGGGUUUAGUAAUUAGGAUUUAGGGUUUAGUAUUUAGAUGGGAGGGUGAUGUUUAAAGUUUGGGGUUUAGUAUUUAAAAGUUGAAGUUUGGAGUAAAAUUUAGUAUUUAUUAGAUGUGAGUGGAUUUUGAAUCCUAUUAUAUUUCAAUGAUAUGGUAUAGAAAAAUAAGAUGCAUAUUGUGUGUUAAACAAAAGUGUGGUGUGGGUUGUAUUACGUAUGAUAAUUAAUUGUAGAGUGUCAAAUUGUUGAUAUCAUCAAUUUUCUUUCUCUAUUACUGGCAAUUUGAACAAAAAAGGGUAGCACCGAAUAAAACUUGACAAAAUUGUUAUGGACUUAAUUAUGUCAAAAUCAAUGCUCUGCAAUUAAUUUCCUUU